rnacentral:rRNA from 1 species
GUGGGGAAUCUUAGACAAUGGGGGCAACCCUGAUCUAGCCAUGCCGCGUGAGUGAUGAAGGCCUUAGGGUCGUAAAGCUCUUUCGCCGGGGAAGAUAAUGACGGUACCCGGUAAAGAAACCCCGGCUAACUCCGUGCCAGCAGCCGCGGUAAUACGGAGGGGGUUAGCGUUGUUCGGAAUUACUGGGCGUAAAGCGCGCGUAGGCGGAUCGGAAAGUUGGGGGUGAAAUCCCGGGGCUCAACCCCGGAAUUGCCUUCAAAACUCCCGGUCUUGAGGUCGAGAGAGGUGAGUGGAAUUCCGAGUGUAGAGGUGAAAUUCGUAGAUAUUCGGAGGAACACCAGUGGCGAAGGCGGCUCACUGGCUCGAUACUGACGCUGAGGUGCGAAAGCGUGGGGAGCAAACAGGAUUAGAAACCCGGGUAGUCC